CCACUGAUUCUCUUUCUUCCGCCAUAACUCAAAGAUGAGACAAUGAAGAAGAAGAAAAAGGUAUCAACUUUAUAAAACCGAUAAAGAUGCCAAUUUGAAGAAAACUCAAUCUGCAGCGGAGAGAUGUUACGCAGCGGCGGAGAGAUGUUACGCACCGCCGGAUGUGUGAUGACGAGAAUUAGAGUAACUAAUUUAAAGACGGACUGGGAGGAACAGACCAGGCGAGAUUGGCGUCGGAGAGCUCGACGGAAUUAAAGGAAGAGAAACCUCUUCACCGCUCGUAACGAUCAAGGGUAUCUUUGAACCCCAAAUAAAAAACAUCUCAAUAAGUAUUUCACAGGAAAUUACUUGGCCAAUUCCUUACCGAAAGUGGUUUUUUUAAUUUUUCUAAAAUGAUUGUGUUCACGAAGGGAGGAUCAAGACAUGUCUCUUGAAGAGUCAUGUUGAUAUCCUGCCUGAACUCAUUUAUGAUUGUGGCUCUAAACUCUGUGUGCGCGAGCGAUGUACAUGUAUUGUGGAAACGAUGUACAUAUGAACAGUUUGGUAUAUGUGUCCAUGUGUACACCCAUUUUUUUGUGUACACACAUUUUCAUU